GGCCGGCCGGGCCGGAGCGCUCGGCUCAGCCGCCGAGCCGGGGGCGUGGGGUCCCCCCGGGCAGCUCUCCGCAGAGGGUCCCCGCCGUGUAGGCUGCCCUGGCCUCGGGGGUCCUCAUGGGCUGAGCAGCGGCUGCGUUCCUCCCCUGCAGGGUUUCUUUGGCGGCUUGCGUGUUCCUCGGUCUCUGUAUGGGUUUGUUUCCUCUUUCCCCACUCGCGGUUCGGAAGAUGAAAUGCUUCUCCCGGUACCUGCCGUACCUCUUCCGGCCGCCCGGCGCCGUCCUCUCCUCCAGCUGCCACUCGGAAGCAGGAAGGGCUCCGUUCCGGUGCACACCCCCCCCGCGGUGCCUGUGUUUGCUGUCAGUCAGCUUUGUGAAUCAUCUGCAGCCGUGCAACCAGCUCCUUGAGAUCAAAAUUUCAUAUCACUGCUCCUCCCCUACAUGGAACCACAGCACUAUUCCUUGUGUGCCCUAGCCACCCAGAGCUAGCUGAUGAAGCAAACCCUUUCUUGAUACCCAGCUUUCUACAGACAUGUUCUUGUGGUCUGUGUCUGUGCAUGGAUGGAUCUGUCGGCCGCACCCAUAAGCCACGGGAAGAUCCAGCUGGAUGCAGCAGGGAUGUGUGCUAUGGAUGGUUUGGAGAGGACUGGCUCUAGUCUCUGCCCACAGUGUGUCUCUAGUGAAAGAGAAACUCCAUGGGGAGCACCUACCAUGACUCCUGAUGCCGUGACCUGGAAUGUCCUAAGGCUGAAGAUUCAGAGUGGGAGGGUCAGGCUGGAGGAACUGGGCAGAGGAUGAUGUUUGAGGCUAAAUCAUUACAUCUCCUGUGGCUGCUGUUUUAGUCCAAGCAUACAGUAUAGAGGUUUUGGUUUAAUUUUAUUUUCUCCAGAGUUCUAAGUAGAUAAAAUUAACCCUGUCAAUAACU